rnacentral:rRNA from 1 species
UUUCCAUCAUCCUCUUUAAUACGGAGGGUGCAAGCGUUAAUCAGAAUUACUGGGCGUAAAGAGCUCGUAGGCGGUUUUUUAAGUCAGAUGUGAAAUCCCUGGGCUUAACCUAGGAACUGUGUUUGAAACUAAAAAGCUAGAGUCUCGUAGAGGGAGGUAGAAUUCUAGGUGUAGCGGUGAAAUGCGUAGAUAUCUGGAGGAAUACCUGUGGCGAAAGCGGCCUCCUAGACGAAUACUGACGCUGAGGUGCGAAAGCAUGGGGAGCAAACAGGAUUAGAAACCCCAGUAGUCC